rnacentral:rRNA from 1 species
UUACUUGGAUAACUGUGGUAAUUCUAGAGCUAAUACAUGCAAACAGAACUCCAACCGGAGACGGAAGGAGUGCUUUUAUUAGAUCAAAACCAAUCGGCGGCUUCGGCCGUCGUACAAUUUGGCGAUUCUGAAUAACUUUAAGCUGAUCGCACGGUCUUGCACCGGCGACGCAUCUUUCAAAUGUCUGCCUUAUCAACUGUCGAUGGUAGGUUCUGCGCCUACCAUGGUUGUAACGGGUAACGGGGAAUUAGGGUUCGAUUCCGGAGAGGGAGCCUGAGAAACGGCUACCACAUCCAAGGAAGGCAGCAGGCGCGCAAAUUACCCACUCCCGGCACGGGGAGGUAGUGACGAAAAAUAACGAUACGGGACUCAUCCGAGGCCCCGUAAUCGGAAUGAGUACACUCUAAACUCUUUAACGAGGAUCAAUUGGAGGGCAAGUCUGGUGCCAGCAGCCGCGGUAAUUCCAGCUCCAAUAGCGUAUAUUAAAGUUGUUGCGGUUAAAAAGCUCGUAGUCGAAUUUGUGUUUCGUGCCGUCGGUUCAUCUUUCGAGGUGUCAACUGGCGUGCCACGAAACGUCCUGCCGGUGGGUUUAGCCCGCAAGGGCGGCCCAAUUAAUCCUGCCACGGUGCUCUUCAUUGAGUGUCGAGGUGGGCCGGCACGUUUACUUUGAACAAAUUAGAGUGCUUAAAGCAGGCUAAAAUUUUGCCUGAAUACUGUGUGCAUGGAAUAAUGGAAUAGGACCUCGGUUCUAUUUUGUUGGUUUUCGGAACUCCGAGGUAAUGAUUAAUAGG